UCUUUCUUCAUUAUUCUUAUCUCCUCGUUUCUCCUUUCUUCUUCUCCUCUCUUCUUCUGUUUGAAACCGAGAGAUGAUUUUGAGGUAAGAUUUGAGAGAAUCAUUUGUUGAAGCUAGUGCAGAUGAUGAAGAUGUAUAGAUGAUAGAGGAGUCGAGGUUGUUGUUGAUGAAGAAGAAAAGAUGAUUCAGGGAACCAAGCUGGGGUUUCUGUGAUUAUGAAUUGGGGUUUCGAAUUGGUGAUGAAUAAUUUGAAAUUGAAGAUGGGUUCGUUUUUAAUUGGUGUUUGAUGGAAGUUGUGGGGUUGUUCUGAAGUUGAUUUGAGGAUCGAAUCAAGAGCUAGGGUUCAUAAGAAAAGUUCAGAGGAGAGUUUGAAGAUGAAGUUAAUGGUUUAGGGGAUUGAAUUAAUGGUGGGUUUGUUCUGAAUCGAAGAAUAAGUGGAUGUGUUGGGUUUAAUUGAAGUUUCUCUAGGAAAUUGAAUCAGUGAAUUAGGGUUCUUGAUAGAGCAGAGAUUUAGGGUUCAUGGGUUGAAUCACAGUUGGAGAAGAAGAGUCUGGAGUCACUGUUUGAGGUAACCUCUUUUUACCAAAUAAAGUUGAAUCGAAUUUCAUUUUGAAUUAUCGAAUUUGGAUAUUUGUUGGAUGCACUUUGAAUUGAAAUUUGAGUGUGCAGGAAUUGAAGUUGCUAUGAAUUGGUUGAGCAAAUUAGGGAAAAUAUCUAAGUUAAUGCAAUAAGUGAGAAUGUUUAGAGUUCUGCAAGGGGCAUGAAUACUGCAGGUUGGUAUGCAUUGAGGUGGAGUUGAGUUUGUCUUAUAAUUGGUAUUGUGGAGUGCAGAGAAGGAGUUAGUGGUAUAAUGCUGAACUGGUGUUGAUGUUGUUACAGGAAAUGUGUUGGUGGAGUGGUUGUUGAGCUGAAGUGAAGAUUAACUAGUAUUGCAGGUGGAAGUAGUGGUGCUGAAAUGGAGAUGCAUGUGAUAAUGGUUUUAUUUAGAAUGGAUGAGUGUGUGUAGACAUUGCUGAUGAACAGGCUUGAGUAGUAUGAGCUGAACCUAAUAUUAGAACUGUAUUGGUGGUGUUGUAGGAUGCAGGGAAGAAAUCUGGAGUUGUGGAUGAAUAAAUGUUAGAUGUACAGAAGUGAUAAUGGAGUUCAGUUCAUGGUCUGUUAAUAAAGAUGAGCAUUAGCAGAUGGUGUUGGUCUCAACUGAUAUUGUCAGUGCUUUAUAUAAGCUGGGUCUGAUGUGUAUGAAGAUGACUGUGUGUUAUUCAAGAUAAGAUGUUGUGUGAUUGAAAUGUUAGAAUGAGGGUUAAUUGAAUGUUCUGAGUUGUCUCUCUACUGGAAGCUUGCAACUGCAUUUGCAGUUAAUCUAUAUUAACAACGAUAGAUCUCUAUCAAAGGAUGAACUAGUGGAUCGUGGAUCUCGAGGUAGGCGUGGCUUGUCAUCAAAAGAGGUGGGAAUACUUUUGACUCUCUUGUAACUAUUGAUGUUUUCUUUUACAAAAGUUUAUGUUUAUCAAAUUCAUACAUUGUCUAGUUGUGCAUUUCAUAUUUUGUCUAAAUUGCAUUACGAUAAUUCUGUUGAUUAUGUUAAUCUUUCCAUGGUUUGGAAAGAACUUGUAAUGUUUUAUCGUCAAUAUGAAUUGUUAUGGGAAA